UCUUUAAAAAAAUUAAACUAGCUGUUCAACUUUAGAGACAUACUCAUUCAAUCUACAGUUUAAGCCCACACGCCUAUGGACACUCGAUCUUUAACAAAGAAGAAAAUGGGAAAAAUCUACUAAAACUGAGUUUGCAAUAUUCUUAUGGCAACAAGACAGGAAGGACAAAUCCUGGUGAGCCUGUAGCUGAACCCAAACUCUCAUCAACACACUGAACUCCAUGGACUAUGACUGUCAGUCCUCAUCUCUGCCCUACAGGAUCUUGGCCACACCUCCAACCUUUGCAGAUUGUUGGAAUGACCUCUGACCCACACUUUGAAAUCUAAGAAAGUGAACAUGUUGAACUGAAAAACAGUCUGGUAACCAUUUGUUGUAUGUUUAUUUCCUUUCUUGUCUUUUCCCAUUAUGUGUGA
rnacentral:lncRNA from 1 species